rnacentral:rRNA from 1 species
GACGAACGCUGGCGGCGUGCUUAACACAUGCAAGUCGAACGGAAAGGCCCUGCUUUUGUGGGGUUCUCGAGUGGCGAACGGGUGAGUAACACGCGAGUAACCUGCCCCUGACUUUGGGAUAACUUCAGGAAACUCGGGCUAAUACCGGAUAGGAGCUCCUGCUGCAUGGGGGGGGUUGGAAAGUUUCGGCGGUUGGGGAUGGACUCGCGGCUUAUCAGCUUGUUGGUGGGGUAGUGGCUUACCAAGGCUUUGACGGGUAGCCGGCCUGAGAGGGUGACCGGCCACAUUGGGACUGAGAUACGGCCCAGACUCCUACGGGAGGCAGCAGUGGGGAAUAUUGCACAAUGGGCGGAAGCCUGAUGCAGCAACGCCGCGUGCGGGAUGACGGCCUUCGGGUUGUAAACCGCUUUCGCCUGUAACGAAGCGUGAGUGACGGUAAUGGGUAAAGAAGCACCGGCUAACUACGUG